GGCAUAGCUCAGUUGGGAGAGCGGUUGCUUUGCAAGCAACAGGUCGUCGGUUCGAUCCCGUCUGCCUCCACCA
rnacentral:tRNA from 1 species